GAUGAACGCUGGCGGCGUGCCUAAUACAUGCAAGUCGAGCGAACAGACGAGGAGCUUGCUCCUCUGACGUUAGCGGCGGACGGGUGAGUAACACGUGGAUAACCUACCUAUAAGACUGGGAUAACUUCGGGAAACCGGAGCUAAUACCGGAUAAUAUAUUGAACCGCAUGGUUCAAUAGUGAAAGACGGUUUUGCUGUCACUUCUAGAUGGAUCCGCGCCGCAUUAGCUAGUUGGUAAGGUAACGGCUUACCAAGGCAACGAUGCGUAGCCGACCUGAGAGGGUGAUCGGCCACACGGGAACUGAGACACGGUCCAGACUCCUACGGGAGGCAGCAGUAGGGAAUCUUCCGCAAUGGGCGAAAGCUUGACGGAGCAACGCCGCGUGAGUGAUGAAGGUCUUCGGAUCGUAAAACUCUGUUAUUAGGGAAGAACAAAUGUGUAAGUAACUAUGCACGUCUUGACGGUACCUAAUCAGAAAGCCACGGCUAACUACGUG
rnacentral:rRNA from 1 species